rnacentral:lncRNA from 1 species
UGGGUCUUAAGCUGCUAAUGACUCACUUUAAGGGAUUAGUGGCAUGGUGACAAGCGUCACAGCCAGGAGGUAACAGGAUUUGCUAUGUCCAGGCCUCCAGCUCCCCUACCAGGGGACCCCUGCUGCCCCCACCUCCUCCCAUCGAGCUCAGCUGGAGCAACUAGUUCUGCCAUGACUGAGUUCUUUAUUGCCUUGUCCUUUGUUGCCUGGUGCAAGGCCCUCUGGGAUAUACAGAUUGUGGGUAUUUCUCCAGCUCCUGGCCCAUCCCAGGGACCUCCAGGCUGUUCCCAGGCAGGAAUGAACAGCCUCCCAGGGCACCCUCAGAAUCCCCCAGCAGCCAGCGGGGACUGGUUGCACCCAGCUCUCUGCUCGCUCUCUUCCAUGUCAAGCUGGCCUUCCAGCUGGGUGGCAUCAGGCUACAGGUUAGGGAUGAAGGGGUCCUGCUCCAGUCAGCUGUGGGUCUGGACUCAAACCCAGCUCUCCAAGCUACCUGGCUUCAGAGUCAUAUGAAUGGUCCUUCCUGCGGUGCUUAUGUGUGCUUGCGAUCUGAGUAGUACUUCUGCCCAGAAAAGGAUGUGCCCACCCAACACACACACACAUACAGAGGGGUAGGGAGGAGACACCAAGUGGGAGCAAGGAGCCCCGGCGAGGCCUAUAUUUAUACCCGCUUUCUGGUUAACUGUACAACUUGAAUAUCAUUAAAGCAAAACGAAUAAACCUCCAAAGAGACAGGAGGUGAGGGAAGGAGAGCCCCUCCCCUGGCUCCCAGCCAGCCUCCAGCCUGGUGGGCGGACCUGCACACCUCGUGUGUGGAUGGGUGAGAGUGCCCAGGUUUGUUUCGUCAGAUUCUGUACAGGAGUUUUUAAUAACUGCAUUGUUGUACAGCUUGGUUUUUCCCAACAGCCAUCCACAGAUCCAU